UGCCAGCCGCCGCGGUAAUACGGAGGGGGUUAGCGUUGUUCGGAAUUACUGGGCGUAAAGCGCGCGUAGGCGGAUUGGAAAGUUGGGGGUGAAAUCCCGAGGCUCAACCUCGGAACUGCCUCCAAAACUCCCAGUCUAGAGUUCGAGAGAGGUGAGUGGAAUUCCAAGUGUAGAGGUGAAAUUCGUAGAUAUUUGGAGGAACACCAGUGGCGAAGGCAGCUCACUGGGCCGCUAUCGACGCUGAGGAGCGAAAGUGUGGGGAGCAAACAGGAUUAGAUA
rnacentral:rRNA from 1 species